GCCGAAGUAGCUCAGUUGGUAGAGCAACUGACUUGUAAUCAGUGGGUCGCGGGUUCAACUCCUGUCUUCGGCUCCA
rnacentral:tRNA from 1 species